GGUUUGACCUUAACCAGCUCACAGAUCUCAAUUUUUGCAGACAAAAGAUUAAUUAGCACCCGCCGUGAAAUGAAGUGGUGUGUGAAGAUGACAUGUUGCUUCUCUGAGACCUUAGGCAAGUGUUAUGUGUUAACUGUCAACUUGACAGAAUCCGGAACCACUUGGGAGCUUAACAUCCAGCAAUAGGAAAAGAAAAGUAAGACAGCAAGUUAGCAAACCUGGUUUGUUCUUCAUAACCCACCUUGUCUGGGGCACUGCAGAAAGGGAGGGAAUCCUGUCUACACAGCAUCCGACGGUUUCCAAGAAAGAAAGAGAAGGGAGCACAGCUCUAGGUGGUGAGCUGGGGGCUGGAGGACUGAGAAUCGAGGAGAAGCCUCCGUUCUCCACAGUCCCUUAAGAACCAAGGUUGGCUUUUCCAUCUUAGCUUGUUAUGAAGGUCACCACCCAGAAGGCAGAAAAAGAAAGAACUCGGGGAACCAUGCAGAAGAGGAUUAUCAUGAGAUUCACAGCGGGCCAUGGACUUCUGCUUACUGAUGUAAAACUCAGUCCCUCCACCCCACUAAACUACAAGGAAGCCUGGGCGAUAUGGUCUCCACGCAUUCUCUACGAAAAAGGAAAUGAUUUAACGAAGCCAAAUUCUGGAACGGUGGUUCGUGUCAUGCAAAGAUCCAUUGAGGGCAAGCUUUAAGAGGGCUUAGAAUUGCAGGACAAACCACAGAGUGGGGGGCACAGAGAACAAGGUUUCCUGCCAUCUCACUACUCUGAUCGUCUUGGCUGUAGUUCCAUCACCUUCCAUCACAGACUAUUGCCCAGGUAAAUGCAAGCCAUUUCUGAGGAGUUGGCAAACUUUUCCAGAAACCCUAGAAGACAUCCCCUUGGGCCUCAGCUAUAACCAAAUUGCACAAGCAGCCACUGAUACAUAACUGACUCCUAGCAAAUGAGUUUGCAGCUGAGAGUGAUUGUCCCAGUGAAAGUCAGCGUGGAAAAUGGAGUCUGAGAAGUGGGAACACUACCCACUCUACUCUCCUACCCCACACCCUUUCAUCUUCCACAACUGCCUACUUUACCUAAUCCCUUGUUUUGUGUUACUUCUGUUUUCAACCAAGGGAAACACUUUCCCUGAGUUAUCUCAUCUUCUCUCAAAGAAUCAGGAGCCCUCCAUUUGAGAAUGGCCGCACAGAAGAGGUAAUGUGAACUGGAGAGUUGGUGCGACAGUUAGGAACAUUUGCUGCCCUUCCAGAGGACAUGGGUUUAAUCCAGACACCCACAUGGUGGCUCACAGUUGUCUAUAGCUUCAGUUCCAGGACAUUCUAUGCCUUCUAGCCUUUGAGGACAUCAUGCAUGCACAUGUUCUGUAGACAUACACGGAGUCAAAAUACCCAUACAUGUAA
rnacentral:lncRNA from 1 species